rnacentral:rRNA from 1 species
UACGUAGGGCGCAAGCGUUGUCCGGAAUUAUUGGGCGUAAAGAGCUCGUAGGCGGUCUGUUGCGUCCGCUGUGAAAACUCGGGGCUUAACCCCGAGCCUGCAGUGGAUACGGGCAGACUAGAGGUAGGUAGGGGAGAAUGGAAUUCCGGUGUAGCGGUGAAAUGCGCAGAUAUCGGGAGGAACACCGGUGGCGAAGGCGGUU